CCUACGGGUGACAGCAGUGGGGAAUAUUGGGCAAUGGACGCAAGUCUGACCCAGCAACGUCGCGUGAAGGAAGAAGGCUUUCGGGUUGUAAAAUUCUUUUAAUGGGGAAGUGAAGAAGACGGUACCCCUUGAAUAAUCCACGGCUAACUACGUGCCAGCAGCCGCGGUAAUACGUAGGUCGCCAGCGUUGUCCGGAUUUACUGGGUGUAAAGGGCGUGCAGCCGGAGAGACAAGUCAGAUGUGAAAGUCACGGGCUCAACCGGUGAACUGCAUUUGAAACUGUUUCCCUUGAGUGCAGGAGAGGUGAGCGGAAUUCGUAGUGUAGCGGUGAAAUGCGUAGAUAUCAGGAAGAACACCGGUGGCGAAGGCAGAUUACUGGACGGUAACUGACAGUGAGGCGCGAAAGUGUGGGGAGCAAACAGGAUUAGAUACCCGUGUAGUC
rnacentral:rRNA from 1 species